UUAAGCGACUAAGCGUACACGGUGGAUGCCCUGGCAGUCAGAGGCGAUGAAGGGCGUGCUAAUCUGCGAUAAGCGCCGGUAAGGUGAUAUGAACCGUUAUAACCGGCGAUACCCGAAUGGGGAAACCCAGUGUGAUUCGUCACACUAUCAUUAACUGAAUCCAUAGGUUAAUGAGGCGAACCGGGGGAACUGAAACAUCUAAGUACCCCGAGGAAAAGAAAUCAACCGAGAUUCCCCCAGUAGCGGCGAGCGAACGGGGAGGAGCCCAGAGCCUGAAUCAGCAUGUGUGUUAGUGGAAGCGUCUGGAAAGGCGCGCGAUACAGGGUGACAGCCCCGUACACAAAAGCGCAUGUGCUGUGAGCUCGAUGAGUAGGGCGGGACACGUGGUAUCCUGUCUGAAUAUGGGGGGACCAUCCUCCAAGGCUAAAUACUCCUGACUGACCGAUAGUGAACCAGUACCGUGAGGGAAAGGCGAAAAGAACCCCGGCGAGGGGAGUGAAAAAGAACCUGAAACCGUGUACGUACAAGCAGUGGGAGCACAGGUUUACCUGUGUGACUGCGUACCUUUUGUAUAAUGGGUCAGCGACUUAUAUUCUGUAGCAAGGUUAACCGAAUAGGGGAGCCGGAGGGAAACCGAGUCUUAAUUGGGCGUUAAGUUGCAGGGUAUAGACCCGAAACCCGGUGAUCUAGCCAUGGGCAGGUUGAAGGUUGGGUAACACUAACUGGAGGACCGAACCGACUAAUGUUGAAAAAUUAGCGGAUGACCUGUGGCUGGGGGUGAAAGGCCAAUCAAACCGGGAGAUAGCUGGUUCUCCCCGAAAGCUAUUUAGGUAGCGCCUCGUGAAUUCAUCUCCGGGGGUAGAGCACUGUUUCGGCUAGGGGGCCAUCCCGGCUUACCAACCCGAUGCAAACUGCGAAUACCGGAGAAUGUUAUCACGGGAGACACACGGCGGGUGCUAACGUCCGUCGUGAAGAGGGAAACAACCCAGACCGCCAGCUAAGGUCCCAAAGUCAUGGUUAAGUGGGAAACGAUGUGGGAAGGCCCAGACAGCCAGGAUGUUGGCUUAGAAGCAGCCAUCAUUUAAAGAAAGCGUAAUAGCUCACUGGUCGAGUCGGCCUGCGCGGAAGAUGUAACGGGGCUAAACCAUGCACCGAAGCUGCGGCAGCGAACGUAUCACCCAAGACAACUUUACGGAGUUGACGAUUGACGGAGCGAAGCGACGUCAAAGCGUUCAUUAAAGUCGAGUUGGCUUAGGGAUACGUUCGUUGGGUAGGGGAGCGUUCUGUAAGCCUGUGAAGGUGUGUCGUGAGGCAUGCUGGAGGUAUCAGAAGUGCGAAUGCUGACAUAAGUAACGAUAAAGCGGGUGAAAAGCCCGCUCGCCGGAAGACCAAGGGUUCCUGUCCAACGUUAAUCGGGGCAGGGUGAGUCGACCCCUAAGGCGAGGCCGAAAGGCGUAGUCGAUGGGAAACGGGUUAAUAUUCCCGUACUUGGUGUUACUGCGAAGGGGGGACGGAGAAGGCUAUGUUGGCCGGGCGACGGUUGUCCCGGUUUAAGCGUGUAGGUGUGUGUUCCAGGUAAAUCCGGUUCACUUUAACACUGAGGCGUGACGACGAGGCACUACGGUGCUGAAGCAACAAAUGCCCUGCUUCCAGGAAAAGCCUCUAAGCAUCAGGUAACACGAAAUCGUACCCCAAACCGACACAGGUGGUCAGGUAGAGAAUACCAAGGCGCUUGAGAGAACUCGGGUGAAGGAACUAGGCAAAAUGGUGCCGUAACUUCGGGAGAAGGCACGCUGACACGUAGGUGAAGUGAUUUACUCAUGGAGCUGAAGUCAGUCGAAGAUACCAGCUGGCUGCAACUGUUUAUUAAAAACACAGCACUGUGCAAACACGAAAGUGGACGUAUACGGUGUGACGCCUGCCCGGUGCCGGAAGGUUAAUUGAUGGGGUCAGCGUAAGCGAAGCUCCUGAUCGAAGCCCCGGUAAACGGCGGCCGUAACUAUAACGGUCCUAAGGUAGCGAAAUUCCUUGUCGGGUAAGUUCCGACCUGCACGAAUGGCGUAAUGAUGGCCAGGCUGUCUCCACCCGAGACUCAGUGAAAUUGAACUCGCUGUGAAGAUGCAGUGUACCCGCGGCAAGACGGAAAGACCCCGUGAACCUUUACUAUAGCUUGACACUGAACAUUGAGCCUUGAUGUGUAGGAUAGGUGGGAGGCUUUGAAGUGUGGACGCCAGUCUGCAUGGAGCCGACCUUGAAAUACCACCCUUUAAUGUUUGAUGUUCUAACGUGGACCCGUAAUCCGGGUUGCGGACAGUGUCUGGUGGGUAGUUUGACUGGGGCGGUCUCCUCCUAAAGAGUAACGGAGGAGCACGAAGGUUGGCUAAUCCUGGUCGGACAUCAGGAGGUUAGUGCAAUGGCAUAAGCCAGCUUGACUGCGAGCGUGACGGCGCGAGCAGGUGCGAAAGCAGGUCAUAGUGAUCCGGUGGUUCUGAAUGGAAGGGCCAUCGCUCAACGGAUAAAAGGUACUCCGGGGAUAACAGGCUGAUACCGCCCAAGAGUUCAUAUCGACGGCGGUGUUUGGCACCUCGAUGUCGGCUCAUCACAUCCUGGGGCUGAAGUAGGUCCCAAGGGUAUGGCUGUUCGCCAUUUAAAGUGGUACGCGAGCUGGGUUUAGAACGUCGUGAGACAGUUCGGUCCCUAUCUGCCGUGGGCGCUGGAGAACUGAGGGGGGCUGCUCCUAGUACGAGAGGACCGGAGUGGACGCAUCACUGGUGUUCGGGUUGUCAUGCCAAUGGCACUGCCCGGUAGCUAAAUGCGGAAGAGAUAAGUGCUGAAAGCAUCUAAGCACGAAACUUGCCCCGAGAUGAGUUCUCCCUGAGACUUAGAGUCUCCUGAAGGAACGUUGAAGACGACGACGUUGAUAGGCCGGGUGUGUAAGCGCAGCGAUGCGUUGAGCUAACCGGUACUAAUGAACCGUGAGGCUUAACCUU
rnacentral:rRNA from 3 species